UACGAGGGGGGCGAGCGUUGUUCGGAAUUAUUGGGCGUAAAGGGUGCGUAGGCGGUUUGGUAAGUCUCGUGUGAAAUCUACAGGCUCAACUUGUAGUCUGCACGAGAAACUGCCGGGCUUGAGUAUGGGAGAGGUGAGUGGAAUUCCUGGUGUAGCGGUGAAAUGCGCAGAUAUCAGGAAGAACACCCGUGGCUAAGGCGGCUCUCUAGUACGUGACUGACGCUGAGACGCGAAAGCGUGGGGAGCGAACAGG
rnacentral:rRNA from 1 species